ACCUGGGCUGCCAUUUCACGAUCAGACAGGCCACCGCAAAUCUGGAUAAUACGGUCAGACAGCGUCGACUUACCGUGGUCAAUGUGAGCAAUGAUCGAAAAGUUACGUAUGUUCUUCAUAUAGUUAAAUAAUUAUGCCUUACGAAUUCCUGGAGGCCGCUGUUCUUAGCCUGACGUUUUUUCAGUGCGAAAACGCAGCAUUCUACACUACAUCCUUGUCAGCUGGAAAUGCACUUAGAGCCAGGUAUAGCGCGAAGAGACGGCGUUUUUCUUUAUUGCGAUGUAAAUAAUAAUAAAAGCCCGGCAGAUUACCGGGCCUCAGAAGAGAGCGUCUCAACACGAAGUUGGUCGGGUGCCAGUGCAACGCUGAGGAUAACGGGCUGCCACGCUUCCCGGGCGGCAAGCCUUGGGGAAACGC
rnacentral:ncRNA from 1 species